rnacentral:rRNA from 1 species
AUGCUCCCCUCCUCUGCACGUCAUCGCCUGAAGGUCACCGUUGCCGCCGCCGAUUUACUCCCCAUUCCCCUCCACCAACGAUGUCCAAUGUGUCCGUCUCCAGGGAUCCAACUAUGGAUGUCGCUUUGUUUCCUUCCUUUUCUGAUCAUCUCGUCCACAACGCAGCGGUGGCCGCGGUGCGGACAAUCGGUGGAAAGUAGGUAG